AAGGCCUUCAAGUUCAGGCGAGCCUAGCAGCUCUGAAAAAAUGGAACACUAAUUUGAACUUAAGUUGCUGAGAGAUUUAGGGUUUUUUUGUUUUGUUUUGAUGUGUUUGAAAUGACCUUUCUCUUUUGAGAAGGGGUGUACACAGAGAGACAGCAGUCAGACCCAGGGUGUCUGUCAAGGUGGACGGCAUCACAAGUAACCGACAGCGGUCACCCCAGGGAUGAAUAUGGAUAUCUGUGGAUGUACAGCUAUAGGCUUCUGCACCCUAAGCACUGCAGUUAGCCAAGAACAUCAUGCUUUACAGAUCUGAGCACCUUGGGCAGAAAUUCUCCUUUAUGUGCCAGAAGUCAUGAAACCAAAGGCAGAAAUCAGCAAGAGGAGACCAGGCACCUCAGGCUGUUUGCCGCGUUAAUCUUCAGAACCCAUUAAGUUGUCUUACCGUAGAAGCCUGAGAGGCAUUCUGCCAUUAAAAAAAUGUUCAGAAAGAGGAAAAAUAUGGGAAAAAGGAAAAAGUGAGGAAGAGAAGAUGGGAAUGAGAAAGGAAGGAAGAAAGGAA